UUUGAAAAUAUACAGAAUGGUUUGUCAAAACAUGUGAAAUGCACUGUAUGGUUCCAAAAUCUGUUUUUCAUGUUUUUCUUUGGGGUGUGAUCUGUUCCUGUUGGUUUAGUGUUUGUGCCUUAAUUGUAGUAUAUCCUUAAGGAAAUUGAGUAUUGGUAGACUAUUUAUUGCAGUUGAAGAUAUAGCAAAAGAAAUAAAUAAGUUUCCAGGAGGGAAAUACCUACAAGUGAAUGAUAAUACAGUCAGUGUAAAACAGCCUUUCACUAAAGAAUGUAUAUACUAUUAUUUACUCAAAAACUAUUCAGCAACUAUUUUACCCACAGGUGAAAUGCACUGGAGUGUCCAGUUUUGUGUCACGUGUCCUUUCUGCCAUUCUCAGGCUAAUGGCACUCUUCAUGACAAGCCUGAUUGUACUGUUAAGCUCCAGAGGAAAAAAUGUGGCUACAGAGUAUAUUAAAAUACAUACAAUUGAAAAGGAAAAUGUUCAUUUUUGCAAGCAGAAGAUUACCAACAGAAUGCUAAAAUUGAAGCUAGAAGAAAGAUUUGAAGUGCCUUUACAAGGUUAUUUCCAAGGUGAUAGAGUUUUCUUUCCUUUUUGAUGAUUUUACUAUGGAAGUGUGAACACUUGAACAACUCAGUCAGCAAUAAAGAAUGAGGUUAGAACUGGAUUUAGCUGGAAAAUCAACAUUGUCUAAUAUAGAAAGAAAGGAGCAAAACAGAGAGAAAAAAAAAGUGAGUUUGUUUAUUUGUUGCUUAAACUGAUUGAAGUUGUAAUCCUGACCCUUUGUAGCUGGAAAAGUCCUGAUUACUUUUCCUGAUUGCUUGCAAAAUAGUGGUUCUUUAUUUCUUAUUUUGGUUAUAAUUUAUUUACAUAAUGGGAUUUAUUAUCUGAGGGAUAGUUUUAGUUUUUAAGUCCACUUGGGAUGCUGUAGAGUCAGUGGAGAAUGAGCAUGUGAUAUUUUAAGGAAUGAUGUCAUAUGUUUACCUGAGCCAGUUUGAAACUUCACUGAGACUAGGAUGAGACACUUGCUUUGCUAUAUUAGUAUUCAGGAAUGCUAGUGGCUAUGACAAAGAGGCCAAAACAACAAUG